AUACGUAGGUGGCGAGCGUUGUCCGGAAUUACUGGGCGUAAAGGAUGCGUAGGUGGAUACUUAAGUGGGAUGUGAAAUCCCCGGGCUCAACCCGGGAACUGCAUUCCAAACUGGGUAUCUAGAGUGCAGGAGAGGAAAGCGGAAUUCCUAGUGUAGCGGUGAAAUGCGUAGAUAUUAGGAGGAACACCAGUGGCGAAGGCGGCUUUCUGGACUGUAACUGACACUGAGGCAUGAAAGCGUGGGUAGCAAACAGGAUUAGAUACCCUGGUAGUCCACGCCGUAAACGAUGGGUACUAGGUGUAGGAGGUAUCGACCCCUUCUGUGCCGCAGUAAACACAGUAAGCAUUCCGCCUGGGGAGUACGGUCGCAAGAUUAAAACUCAAAGGAAUUGGCGGGG
rnacentral:rRNA from 1 species